UGGGGAAUUUUGGACAAUGGGCGAAAGCCUGAUCCAGCAAUGCCGCGUGUGUGAAGAAGGCCUUCGGGUUGUAAAGCACUUUUUGUCCGGAAAGAAAAUCCUUGGCUCUAAUACAGUCGGGGGAUGACGGUACCGGAAGAAUAAGCACCGGCUAACUACGUGCCAGCAGCCGCGGUAAUACGUAGGGUGCAAGCGUUAAUCGGAAUUACUGGGCGUAAAGCGUGCGCAGGCGGUUUGCUAAGACCGAUGUGAAAUCCCCGGGCUCAACCUGGGAACUGCAUUGGUGACUGGCAGGCUAGAGUAUGGCAGAGGGGGGUAGAAUUCCACGUGUAGCAGUGAAAAUGCGUAGAGAUGUGGAGGAAUACCGAUGGCGAAGGCAGCCCCCCUGGGCCAAUACUGACGCUCAUGCACGAAAAGCGUGGGGGAGCAAAACAGGGAUUAGAUACCCUGGUAGUCCACGCCCUAAACGAUGUCAACUAGUUGUUGGGGAUUCAUUUCCUUAGUAACGUAGCUAACGCGUGAAGUUGACCGCCUGGGGAGUACGGUCGCAAUGAUUAAAACUCAAAUGAAUUGACGGGGUCAUAGCUG
rnacentral:rRNA from 1 species